AGCUGUUUUGUUUGGCGUUUGUAGUUCUAAAAAUAAAGUUAGUUUCUUUUGACAAGUGGCUCCUGAAUUGUGCCUAGCCAGACUGCGGCACUCCCUAUGCCUGGGUCUUAGAGCUGCCUGCCCACUGGCCCAGGUCUCCUGGCCCAGGGCCGGGGACCCUCCUGUGGGCUGCUUCCCUGCCAUCCUGGUGAGCUUACCUGAGAGGACGUUCUGCAACGAUGGCUUCUUGGAUGAGCUCCGACUCCAGGUUGUCAAUAUGGAACUGGCCGGUCUGCUCUCAGCAGCAGAGAGCGAGGUGUGAAACACGGGCUGAGUAAUCCCGUGGUGACACGGGGCAGCAGCACAAAAUUCUGUGGACAACCUUCCGUCAGAGGCAGCUGCAAGGCUCUGCUGCCAUCUGCUCCAGGCCAUGAUCUCAGAGAAGGAUUUAGCAAGUGUGUGUCAAUGAUGCUUUGAAGAUUCGUUUUACUCAGCGAUGAGUGAAGUGGCGGGACGGUCCAGUUGACUUAAUGAGCACUUGAGGAACAGAGAUUUAUUCAGCCCAUGGGAGAAAUGGUGCUGGGAUACACUUGCUUGCAGAUAGAUCUGAAGAGGUCUAGACGAGCCCCCGGGGCACACGGAGGAAAAUGCCCCCCAUUUGUUCCCUCCCUAGUCCACGCCUGCCCUCGAACACCUGUGUAUCCCAGGACGGGGACCAUGACGUGGAUGAAGCAGGCAGUCCCCAAGCUUCUGGAGCGUGAGCCCAGCAGGGCCACAGGUGUGUGGCAAGGGUGCCAGGGACAAGAUGAGCCAGAGAGCGUGGGAAGACAGGUAGGGCCUUGUGGGGACACCCCCUGGGGCAGAGGUGAGAGGGCAGCCAAUGAGGGAGGCUGAGCAGUGACGAUGUUGGGGGUCACUCCUGACCUCUGUGGCUGGCUGCCAAGCAAGGCCUUCAUGGGGAGUCAGCUCGCGCUGAGGAGCCGAGUCAGGGGAGGAGGCAGGGCAGAGGGUGGCCUCUGAGGGCCCUGGAGCAGGAGCCACGGGCAGCACAACAGGAUGGCAAUGGUUUCCCUAAACCAGAGAACCCGGGCUGCACCCACUGGAGCCCGAGGGCAGCUCGACUGGCAGGUAGACCUUGGGGAGGGCAGCCAGUGGGGGACGCUCAGCUCUUCCCUCCUGGCCCCCAGGAGUGACAGCAUUGGCUUCCAUCAGUGGUCACUGUGCUGCAGGGGCAGGCUUGUCCCAGAGUCAACCCGCCUGGCCUGGCCGGGGUGAAGGAGUGGAGGUGGACGGUGGGGCUGCGGGUCAGACCAUGGCAAUACCUGCCACUGCUUGGGCCACCAGGUGAGUGGCCAGACUGGCCAGGCAGGCGAGUCACAGAACUUCUGCCUUUGGUUCCCUCCAGGCCUCAAGGACAAUGGCCGUCACUGUCCACCCCACGAGGCCCAGGGAGAGGGUCAGGGACAGGUAGUUCAGCCCGCCUAGUCUGACAUCAAGAAGCCGUCCCCAGGCCUCCCCUGCUCUCAUCCGGGGCUCUGAGGUCCCCACUGUGGAGAGGGUCUCACUGAGUUGCUGAGGCUGGCUUUGAAGUACAACCCUCCUGCUGCUAGGAGUCCAGGCGGGGGCCAGCUGCACCCAGCCCCAAAGGCUUUUUAUCUUCUUCAGAAGUUCGACAACUUCCCUUCCCUCUUUCCUUCCUCCAUGUGCCCUCUGUGCCCCGCCUGCCCCCUGGAGCAGAGAGGUGCCACCCCGGCCUGGAGCACCCACCACUCACAGGGAGCAGGAAGCAUCUCUGAGAAGACAAGCCCCUCUCCCCCGCUGGGUGCUCUGUGGGGAACCGACCUCAGGCCUGUGCUCUUGCUGUAAGUCUUCCCUGCGGCUGGGGCCUUUCUCUCUGGACCCCCUCCAGUGUGCUUACGGCCUCUCAAAAUGUGGAUCCCCAAGUUACAAGCAUUUUCCACAAGAGCCUGAGAGGACUUAGCAGAAGAGAUGAGUGCUCGCCGUCACUUCUGCGACUCGGCACCAGUUUUCCAACACUUCCCUGUGCUGCCUGCUGAGUGCUGGGGGCAUGUGGAGUCCCGAUGCUGAGCCCCAUGAGCAUCCCACUAAGCGGGAGGAACACCCGGGAAGCGGCCUUUGCUGUGCCAUGAGCCACCAGGUCCUGGCAGCACCAGGCAGGGUGCAGCCUCCAGCCUGUCUGGGACUUUCAUGGCCACCUGUUUUCUCCACUUCCCCCUUCCCACUUCCAAGCAUGACAUGCAAAAUCCCGCUGCAGAGAGCCCUGUGCAGCCACACUCCUCUGCUUCACUUUGAAUUCUUGGCAUUUUUCUUAAUUGACCUUUAACCUUUUAAAGACUUCUUUUUGUCUCUUUGCUCAUUGAUUUAAUUAAAAAUUUUUUUGACUUUUU